GCCUUCGGGCGGUUAUUUUUGGGUACGGCUUUGCCCGCUCCCUAUUUUUGGCACACGGAGGCCCCUCGCAAAGUCUCGGGCAUUUCGAGUCCGGCGGACGAAGUCGGCCAGCCCCACCCCCCAAGGCUAUAGCCCACCAGUUUUUGUGGCCUUUUUCCGCUGGACGAACUUGGCGCCCCGGCCUUUGGGCGGUUAUUUUUGGGUGCGGCUUUGCCCACGGCCUAUUUUUGGCACACGGAGGCCCCUAGCAAAGACCGCGGCAUUCCAAGUCCGGCGGACGAAGUUGGCCAGCCCCACCACCCAACGCUAUAGCCCACCCGUUUUUGUGGCCUUUUUCCGCUGGACGAAGAUGGCGCCCCGACCUUCGGUCGGUUUUUUUUGGGCACGGCUGCGUCCGCGGCCUAUUUUUGGCACACGGAGGCACCUCGCAAAGUGUCGCGCCAUUCCGAGUCCGGCGGACGAAGUUGGCCAGCCCCACCCCCCAAGGCUAUAGCCCACCCGUUUUUGUGGCCUUUUUCCGCUGGAC
rnacentral:lncRNA from 1 species